GACGAACGCUGGCGGCGUGCCUAAUACAUGCAAGUCGUACGCAAAACUUUCACCGAGUGCUUGCACUCACCGAAAGUUUUGAGUGGCGAACGGGUGAGUAACACGUGGGUAACCUGCCCAGAAGAAGGGGAUAACACUUGGAAACAGGUACUAAUACCGUAUAACAACAAAGACCGCAUGGUCUUUGUUUAAAAGAUGGUUCUGCUAUCACUUCUGGAUGGACCCGCGGCGUAUUAGCUAGUUGGUGAGGUAAUGGCUCACCAAGGCAAUGAUACGUAGCCGAACUGAGAGGUUGAUCGGCCACAUUGGGACUGAGACACGGCCCAAACUCCUACGGGAGGCAGCAGUAGGGAAUCUUCCACAAUGGACGAAAGUCUGAUGGAGCAACGCCGCGUGAGUGAAGAAGGUUUUCGGAUCGUAAAACUCUGUUGUUAGAGAAGAACGUGUGUGAGAGUAACUGUUCAUGCAGUGACGGUAUCUAACCAGAAAGCCACGGCUAACUACGUGCCAGCAGCCGCGGUAAUACGUAGGUGGCAAGCGUUGUCCGGAUUUAUUGGGCGUAAAGGGAACGCAGGCGGUUUUUUAAGUCUGAUGUGAAAGCCUUCGGCUUAACCGAAGUCAUGCAUUGGAAACUGGAAGACUUGAGUGCAGAAGAGGAGAGUGGAACUCCAUGUGUAGCGGUGAAAUGCGUAGAUAUAUGGAAGAACACCAGUGGCGAAAGCGGC
rnacentral:rRNA from 1 species